CCUACGGGGAGCAGCAGUAGGGAAUCUUUCACAAUGGGCGAAAGCCUGAUGGAGCAACGCCGCGUGCAGGAUGAAGGCCUUCGGGUUGUAAACUGCUUUUAUAAGCGAGAAAUAUGAUGGUAACUUAUGAAUAAGGAUCGGCUAACUACGUGCCAGCAGCCGCGGUCAUACGUAGGAUCCGAGCAUUAUCCGGAGUGACUGGGUGUAAAGAGUUGCGUAGGUGGCAUAAUAAGUAGCUAGUGAAAUCUGGUGGCUCAACCAUUCAGACUAUUAGCUAAACUGUUAAGCUCGAGACCGUUAGGGGUAACUGGAAUGUCUAGUGUAGGAGUGAAAUCCGUAGAUAUUAGAAGGAACACCAAUAGCGUAGGCAGGUUGCUGGGACGGUUCUGACACUAAGGCACGAAAGCGUAGGGAGCAAACGGGAUUAGAUACCCCUGUAGUC
rnacentral:rRNA from 1 species